rnacentral:rRNA from 1 species
UACGUAGGGUGCGAGCGUUGUCCGGAAUUACUGGGCGUAAAGAGCUCGUAGGUGGUUUGUCGCGUCGUCUGUGAAAUUCCGGGGCUUAACCUCGGGCGUGCAGGCGAUACGGGCAAUACUUGAGUGCUGUAGGGGAGACUGGAAUUCCUGGUGUAGCGGUGAAAUGCGCAGAUAUCAGGAGGAACACCAAUGGCGAAGGCAGGUCUCUGGGCAGUUACUGACGCUGAGGAGCGAAAGCAUGGGUAGCGAACAGGAUUAGA